ensembl:processed_transcript
CUCCAGAGUUUCAUGCAAUUUCAGAUGUUUCAUUUUUAACUUUCGACUUCUGUUUUAAUGGAAUUUGAUACCGCAUGGCGAACGGAAAGAAAAACCUCCGCAUUUCGUGAGUCGGUGGUCCUUUAAGGUAGUCAAAAAUCGCUGCUUACAUGGUAGACUCUUAACAUGAUCGCUCCGGCUGUGCCCUGUCAUUGCGCGCGUUGUGUGUGUGUGUGUGUGUGUGUGUGUGUGUGUGUCAACAAACCUGCCUAAAUGUCGUUGUCUGUAGCCACUAAAUCAAAGGUUACGAAUUGCCGUGAGAUUGCGUUGCACUCUCAGCUCACAUCAUUCAAAAGAAAAGGUCCACAUUGUACCCCGAUAAUGUCAACAGACUGGACUGUCUUAGCAUCUGGAU